UACGGGAGGCAGCAGUCGGGAAUUUUGGGCAAUGGGCGAAAGCCUGACCCAGCAACGCCGCGUGAAGGAUGAAAUCCUUCGGGAUGUAAACUUCGCAAGAACGGGAAGAAUAAGUAAGAGCUAACAUCUCUUAUGAUGACGGUACUGUUUGUAAGCUCCGGCUAACUCCGUGCCAGCAGCCGCGGUAAUACGGGGGGAGCAAGCGUUGUUCGGAUUUACUGGGCGUAAAGGGCGCGUAGGCGGCCACCGCAAGUCAGUUGUGAAAGCUCUGGGCUUAACCCAGAAAGGUCAACUGAUACUGCGGGGCUAGAGUGCAGAAGGGGCAACUGGAAUUCUCGGUGUAGCGGUGAAAUGCGUAGAUAUCGAGAGGAACACCUGCGGCGAAGGCGGGUUGCUGGGCUGACACUGACGCUGAUGUGCGAAAGCUAGGGGAGCGAACGGGAUUAGAUACCCCGGUAGUCCUAGCCUUAAACGAUGAAUGCUUGGUGUCUGGGGUUUUAUAGUCCCCGGGUGCCGUCGCUAACGCUUUAAGCAUUCCGCCUGGGGAGUACGGUCGC
rnacentral:rRNA from 1 species